rnacentral:rRNA from 1 species
GUAACAAGUGGGAAUCUGCCUUGUGGUUCAGGACAACAUUGGGAAACCGAUGCUAAUACUGGAUAAGCCCUUACGGGGAAAGUUUUAAUGCCAUAAGAUGAGCCCGCAUUUGAUUAGUUAGUUGGUGAGGUAAUGGCUCACCAAGACAAUGAUCAAUAGCUGAUCUGAGAGGAUGAUCAGCCACACUGGGACUGAGACACGGCCCAGACUCCUACGGGAGGCAGCAGUGGGGAAUCUUGCACAAUGGAGGAAACUCUGAUGCAGCGAUGCCGCGUGAGUGAAGAAGGCCUUUGGGUUGUAAAGCUCUUUUGUAGGGGAAGAUAAUGACUGUACCCUAAGAAUAAGGUCCGGCUAACUUCGUGCCAGCAGCCGCGGUAAUACGAAGGGACCUAGCGUAGUUCGGAAUUACUGGGCGUAAAGCGCGCGUAGGCCGUUGAGUUAGUUAAUUGUGAAAUCCCAAAGCUUAACUUUGGAACUGCAAUUAAAACUGCUCGACUAGAGUUUGAUAGAGGAAAGCGGAAUACAUAGUGUAGAGGUGAAAUUCGUAGAUAUUAUGUAGAACACCAGUUGCGAAGGCGGCUUUCUGGAUCAACACUGACGCUGAGGCG